AUGGAAAGCGGCGGACGGGUGAGUAACGCGUAGGCAACCUGCCUCUCACAGGGGGAUAGCCAUCGGAAACGGUGAUUAAUACCCCAUAAAGUCAGAAUAACACAUGUUAAACUGACCAAAGAUUUAUCGGUGAGAGAUGGGCCUGCGUCUGAUUAACUAGUUGGUGAGGUAACGGCUCACCAAGGUGACGAUCAGUAGCCGACCUGAGAGGGUGAACGGCCACAUUGGAACUGAGACACGGUCCAAACUUC
rnacentral:rRNA from 1 species